UUAAUUGUAUUAUUCUUAGGUGCCCCUCACGGGGAGAAUAGGGAAACCGGUGUUAAUCCGGUGCGGACCCACCACUGUAAAGAUGAGCCCUCGCUAAUCCACUGGCAUUUGCUGGGAAGGAGCGUCAGGGUGCUUGAGUCUAAGCCAGGAGACCUGCCUAAGAAGAAAAGUCUUU
rnacentral:ncRNA from 2 species